rnacentral:rRNA from 1 species
UUUGAUCCUGGCGUCAGAACGAACGCUGGCGGCAGGCCUAACACAUGCAAGUCGAGCGAGACCUUCGGGUCUAGCGGCGGACGGGUUAGUAACGCGUGGGAAUGUACCCUUCACUGCGGAAUAGCCACUGGAAACGGUGAGUAAUACCGCAUACGCCCUUCGGGGGAAAGAUUUAUCGGUGAAGGAUCAGCCCCCCGCGUCUGAUUAGAUAGUUGGUGGGGUAACGGCCUACCAAGUCGACGAUCAGUAGCUGGUUUUAGAGGAUGAUCAGCAACACUGGGACUGAGACACGGCCCAGACUCCUACGGGAGGCAGCAGUGGGGAAUCUUAGACAAUGGGCGCAAGCCUGAUCUAGCCAUGCCGCGUGUGUGAUGAAGGCCCUAGGGUCGUAAAGCACUUUCGCCAGGGAUGAUAAUGACAGUACCUGGUAAAGAAACCCCGGCUAACUCCGUG